rnacentral:rRNA from 1 species
CCUUCGGGACCGAGCGGCGGACGGGUUAGUAACGCGUGGGAACAUACCCAGAUCUACGGAAUAGCCUCGGGAAACUGAGAGUAAUACCGUAUACGCCCUUCGGGGGAAAGAUUUAUCGGAUUUGGAUUGGCCCGCGUUAGAUUAGAUAGUUGGUGAGGUAACGGCUCACCAAGUCUACGAUCUAUAGCUGGUUUUAGAGGAUGAUCAGCAACACUGGGACUGAGACACGGCCCAGACUCCUACGGGAGGCAGCAGUGGGGAAUCUUAGACAAUGGGCGCAAGCCUGAUCUAGCCAUGCCGCGUGUGUGAUGAAGGCCUUAGGGUCGUAAAGCACUUUCGCCAGAGAUGAUAAUGACAGUAUCUGGUAAAGAAACCCCGGCUAACUCCGUGCCAGCAGCCGCGGUAAUACGGAGGGGGUUAGCGUUGUUCGGAAUUACUGGGCGUAAAGCGUACGUAGGCGGAUCAGAAAGUAUGGGGUGAAAUCCCGGGGCUCAACCCCGGAACUGCCUCAUAAACUCCUGGUC